GUCGUACAACAAGAGGAUGUUCAAACAAGAACCAAAGUAUCGGAAAACAAAAAUCAGAAGAAUUUUGUGAUAGAGUGAAUUUGGGUCACGGCGCGGUAGCGUUCAGUCCUCUCGCCGAAUCACUUGCCGAACAUGUGGUAGUGUUUUGCGACACGGUCUGUGAACUGGGAAAGAGGUCUUAAAAUUUCCUCCUCCGCAAGACAGGAAGAGCAGACACAGCCCUGGACUUCCUCUCCCAGAUCCUUCCUGACCAAGAUGCCCUUCUCCAAGGGAGGAGCCGUGACCUUCAAAGGCCAUGUCCUGGCACAUCAGGACGU